AUUCCUACGGGAGGCAGCAGGGGGGAAUAUUGGACAAUGGGCCACAAGCCUGAUCCAGCAAUUCUGUGUGCACGAUGAAGGUCUUCGGACUGUAAAGUGCUUUCAGUUGGGAAGAAGAAAGUGACGGUACCAACAGAAGAAGCGACGGCUAAAUACGUGCCAGCAGCCGCGGUAAUAAU
rnacentral:rRNA from 1 species